rnacentral:tRNA from 1 species
GUGGUAGCUCAGUGGUAGAGAGCUUGCCUAGCAUGUGUGAGGUACUGGAUUCAAUCCACAGUGCCACA